ACCCCGCUGUUUUUUUUUAUUUCUUCCCAUUAGUCUGCCUUUUCUUUCCAAAGAGCUUUGAGAAUAAAGAGAGGACAGGGAAAGCGUUUAGAGACUUUGUAAAAUUCUACCAGACUGUAAGCCCUGUGAGGGUAGGGAAAUUAUCUUUUAUCACAUUACCUCCAUAGCCUAGCACAACAUAACUGUUUAUUUGUUGGAUCACACAAACACACACACACACUCUCUCUCUCUCACACCCCCCCCCCCCAGUGUGUGCUUUAUUCUUAGAAGAGUCCCACAGAACCAUAUGCCACAUAAGUGACUUCUGCAUCAGGUAGGGGACUGGACCAGAUCAGUAAUGUUAUGCUGAAAAACUAGUGUAAUUAUAUACUUUGGAUCCCAAACAUGAGAGAAAUGGAGAAGGCAAGGGAGGAUAAAAGCAUUAAAUCCCAACUGUCAUUCUGAACAUUGAGAUAAGACUCAGAGUAAUAAAAAAAUCUUCCUUAAAGAUCCACAGACAGGUAGUAAAGAAAUAGUGGGCUGCAUGACCUCUGAGGUCCCUGCUAAAUUUAGUAUUAUUUGAUUUUCAUUUAUUGAUCCUAAACAUCAAGUUAAGAGCCUAUACUUCAAGACACUGUUUAGAUCUAGAGUUACUAAACAUUAUUCUGGGCACUGAGGAGUCAGCUGUAAAAAAAGAGAGAAAUUCUUAACUUCAUGGUGUUUACAUUCUAAUGGAAGGUGGGUGUGGGAGGCAAAUGAGAUUUUAGUGUCCCAAAAAAGAUAGCAAGAGGCUAGGAAGUGGCAAAAUUAAUGGGACAGCAUUCCAAUGGUUAUAUCUUCAAGGGCUGGUUAGGUAUACUAUCAAUCAUUUAUUCUUUUUAAAAACGUUCAAAAAAUCUAUGAAGAAACAUAUGUCAAUUUUAUCACCUAAUUUUCUUUCCCGCCUCUAGCGCUCUCAAGUCUAUUGCAAACUCUUCUAAGUCUUCAUUAGCUUUUCCCUCUCAAUUCCUUUAAUAAACCAAAAUAACUGCUUUCCA
rnacentral:lncRNA from 1 species